GCUCAGUUGGUGUUCCGGUUUCGGGUUGUGCUGUCAGUUGCCUUUUUGCACAGCGGCUGAGCGAUUGAGCGAUUGAACGAUUGAACGGUUGGACGGCUGAGCGCUGGAGCGGUUGAGAGUGUGCCAUCGGAGCCGGAGAGUCCUAACGCGCUGCCCGUGGUCUGUGUCCGCAUCCGUAUCCGUAUCUCGUAUCUCCGUGCGUCUCUCUCCGGGUGUGUGCGUGUGGUUGUGCGUGUGUUUAAGUGUGUGCCUGUUGUCUGUCGCUAACGGUGCGCGCGCGUCUGUUUGUGUGAGUGUGUGACUCUGUGCGUGCCCCUGCCAGUGUGUGUGUGUGUGCGUGUGUGUGUGUGCACAACAAUACUAUAUAUCUUAUAUACUAAUACCAGUGUGUGCCCACACUCGCACACGGCCUGCAAAUAAAAUAUUAGAAACAGAUAUAUACAACAAUUCCAGCAGCCGUCGACACGCAUGACACAUGCAAUGGAUGCCAGAACUAAUAGUGGAUAUCGGAAUAAACAAAUAUAAAGCCACAUACUCGUACAUACAAAUUUAUAAGCUAAGCAAUAUUUAAUUCGGUUGAGUGAAAUUCGCAAGAAAUAAAUCAAUUUUAAAGUUCUUCAAGCUGCGGAAACGAAUACUAAACCGCGAAAACUAUUCAAUCGCUGAACUGAAUAAACGCAUAAGCCCACGACUAAAGCAAUUUUGUAAUUCAAACAAAGGGAAAACAAACUGAAAAUAUUAAUUACUAUUAAUGGCGAUGACUACUCAAAAGCAAACGACUUGAGCCAGUUGUAAAUAUUAAAACCGACAUUAAACAUAAAAUGCAUACACACCUAAAAUUCCAAACUCACGUAAAGACAAGAGAAUUAUAAUAUCCAUACACAAAUUACCAACAAAGAAUCCAUUUAAAUACGAAGUGUUCUAUUAUAUAGAAAACGAAACUCGCAAAAGAUAUAUAAAUUCUCGAUAAGCAACUGAAACACGCACAAGAUUGAUACAAAUUUUUAAUAAUAGUACAUUAAAACAUAAGGACAGUUCCACAACAGCUCAAUUGGCUGAUAAAUCUAAGUGGGAAUAAUUCGGAAAUUCCUUGAAAGUCUUCGAUUGACGGAAUUAAAAAUUACGAUUAACUCGAUACAUACAUACAUAAUCGAUUAUAAAUAAAUAAUAAUCAUUAUUGAAUUAAAAAUAAAUUACAUCAACUUCAUUACUUAUCAACCAAAAAUUCCGGGAGACAAAUUUGAUAAAAAAGUUUAAAAAAUAUUAAUACGCAUACAACAAGUUUAAUACACGAACCAGUAAAGGGAAUAGUUCUACGAGUAAUUAUUCAACACAAUCAACGCUAUUCUUGAAUGCCAAUUGAAAAAAACUUUGAUUGCAUAACAAAUGGAGAAAGGAUAGAAGACGCCACUUUUGCAUUCACAAAUAAGGAAGAAGUCAAGUAAAUCAAUAGAAACCAAAUGCUACAAAGCACUGCCAUAUACAACUGCAAAGGAUUGCAUUAUGAGAACUAACAAUUGAGUAGCUCAACAUUUAUAGCAAAACAAUACGAAAUCUAGGUUAAUAUAGCAACUACUAUACAAAAUUGGAGCUCACGAACAAAUGAGGGAGAAAAGGCGAACAGGAGGAACAUCAACAGCAAAAUAAAAAAUUAGUAAAAAUGGAUGCAGAAUAAAGGAAGCCCAAAAACGAGAAAGAAGAAGUUGUGGUCUAAACUCUUAUUGUAAGAAAACGCAUAAAACUAAUAGAAAAACGCUCUUUGGGUUGUAAAGAAAAUAAGAAGACAAAAGAAAGACAUGAAAACGUUGCAAACAAUAAAGCAUAUACUUGCCAUAUUGAUAUAAAAGGAAAUCGUGAAAAGGCGGUGAAAAUUUCAUAAGAUUAGCAGGUAUUAAGGCCCACAGUAAAAGAGGGAACUCAACCCCCUUGCAGAACAAUGAAAGCUGCAGCAGCUGGAUAAGGCCGACUAAACCGAAAAUUAUAUUAUUGUAAUCUAGUAGAGAGCAGAGCAACAUAUCCGCUGGCAACAACCAACACCGAAAGAGACUAUGAAAAAUGCACAACUGAAACUGACUGAAGUUGACGAUGAUGAGCUGUGGUUGGCAGUAAGAUUAGCGCACUGCAGCAGCAUCAGCAGCAGCACAAAAACCACCAGCAGCCCGUGCAACAGCAGCCACCAGCGGCACAACCAGCAACUCACAACACUGCAACCAAGGAGCUUAAGUACAAAACACCACAGCAACAUUGCGAGCGAGCAGCACAAUAGCCAGCAACAGGAGCCAGCGCCGAAGGACGAGGAUGUAGCCACCCACGGGAGCAGCAAUGACCAGCAGCAACAGCAGCAGCAGCUAGACAGCAGCAGCAACAUGUUGUCGCCAAAGACAGCCGCAGCAAGUGCUGCCGGCGAGGAAGCAACAACCCAACAACCAACAAACAUAAGACUGUGUGCACGCAAGCGACAACGAUUGCGUCGCCGACGAAAAAGAAAACCAGCAACCCCAACCGAAGCAGAUAUCAAGAAACAACAGCCACUUAGCAUGCCUCCCUUCAAAACGCGCAGAUCCACGGACACCUACAGCUCACCAGCAGCAACCACUAGCUGUCCGACAGCCACCUACAUGCAAUGUCGCACCAGCGAGAACGAGUUCAGCAUUCCGAUAUCGAGUAAUGACCUCUCCCCGGCCGCCUGGGUGUUGCAUGUGCUGCAGGUGCUGCUGGUGUCGCUGCAGCAGUGGCAACUCCACGUGCAACAGCGAUCGGUGCUCCUGCUCAGAGGCAUUGCGGUGGCCACCAGCGCCUUCGUUUCCUAUUUAGGCAGCUUUGCGGCGCAACUGAGGAGCAGCAGCAGCAGCAACAGCAGCAGUGGCAACAGCAGCAACAGCGGCAACGGCAGCAGCACGCAAAUUAUAAACGGACUUAAUAAACACUCAUGGAUAUUUUUACUGAUAUAUUUGAAUUUAUCUGCUAAAGUUUGCCUAGCAGGAUAUCAUGAAAAGAGACUGUUACACGAUCUUUUGGAUCCUUAUAAUACACUAGAACGUCCCGUUCUCAAUGAAUCGGACCCGUUACAAUUAAGCUUUGGUUUAACUUUAAUGCAAAUUAUCGAUGUGGACGAGAAAAAUCAAUUGCUAGUCACUAAUGUGUGGUUGAAACUGGAGUGGAACGACAUGAAUCUCCGCUGGAACACCUCGGACUACGGCGGAGUCAAGGAUCUGCGAAUCCCGCCGCACCGCAUCUGGAAGCCAGACGUCCUCAUGUACAACAGUGCGGAUGAGGGAUUCGAUGGCACCUACCAGACGAACGUGGUGGUGCGGAACAACGGGUCGUGCCUGUACGUGCCGCCGGGGAUCUUCAAGUCGACGUGCAAGAUCGACAUCACGUGGUUUCCCUUCGACGACCAGCGGUGCGAGAUGAAGUUCGGCAGUUGGACCUACGACGGAUUCCAGCUGGAUUUACAAUUACAAGAUGAAACUGGCGGUGAUAUCAGCAGUUACGUGCUCAACGGCGAGUGGGAACUACUGGGUGUGCCCGGCAAACGUAACGAGAUCUAUUACAACUGCUGCCCGGAACCCUAUAUAGACAUCACCUUCGCCAUCAUCAUCCGCCGCCGAACACUGUACUACUUCUUCAACCUGAUCAUACCUUGUGUACUGAUUGCCUCCAUGGCCCUGCUCGGAUUCACCCUGCCGCCGGAUUCGGGUGAAAAAUUAUCACUGGGUGUUACCAUCCUGCUCUCGCUGACCGUGUUUCUCAAUAUGGUUGCCGAGACAAUGCCGGCUACUUCCGAUGCGGUGCCAUUGCUGGGUACAUAUUUCAAUUGCAUAAUGUUUAUGGUAGCUUCAUCCGUUGUGUCAACGAUUUUAAUAUUAAAUUAUCAUCAUCGAAAUGCUGAUACGCACGAAAUGUCCGAAUGGAUACGCAUCGUGUUUUUGUGCUGGCUGCCAUGGAUACUGCGAAUGAGUCGCCCAGGACGCCCGCUGAUCCUGGAGUUCCCGACCACGCCCUGUUCGGACACCUCCUCCGAGCGGAAGCACCAGAUACUCUCCGACGUUGAGCUGAAAGAGCGCUCGUCGAAAUCGCUGCUGGCCAACGUACUAGACAUCGAUGAUGACUUCCGGCACAACUGUCGCCCCAUGACGCCCGGCGGAACACUGCCACACAACCCGGCCUUCUACCGCACGGUCUAUGGACAAGGCGACGAUGGCAGCAUUGGGCCCAUUGGCAGCACCCGAAUGCCGGACGCGGUCACACAUCACACGUGCAUCAAAUCAUCAACUGAAUAUGAAUUAGGUUUAAUCUUAAAGGAAAUCCGCUUUAUAACUGAUCAGCUACGUAAAGAUGACGAGUGCAAUGACAUUGCCAAUGAUUGGAAAUUUGCAGCUAUGGUCGUUGACAGACUGUGCCUUAUCAUAUUCACAAUGUUCACAAUAUUAGCCACAAUAGCUGUACUACUAUCAGCACCACAUAUUAUUGUCUCGUAGCCAUAUGGGCGAGGUGGUUAUUGUUAUUGGUUUUAUUAUAAAAUCAAUUUGUUAAUUAUUAAAUUAAUAACGAAACUUUUUAAGUAAAUUAAACUAAAAAAGACACUAAAAAGCACAAAAAAAUAGGAAAAUACAUGAUAAAAACCAUCAACUAAAUAAUACAUCCAAAAAUCCAAAAAAAAAAAAUUCACAAAAAAAAACAAUUAAAAAUCGUCUCUGAAAACACAAUAAUUUAAUUAUAAAACUCUCGUUUAAAAGUCUUUCAUUAAAAUCAAACAGACACUAAACAAAUAAGAGACUAAACCAACAUCAUAUACUAAAACGUUAAAAAUUAACUAAUUCCAAUUUUCCUAAUUCUAUACAAAAAUCUAUAUAAUGGUAAACCAAGAAAUCCCCUCACUUCCCGCAAGCCCCCACAAGCCAGUAUCUAGAUUUCUUCCAUUGAAUAUAUAUAUAUACAUAUAUGUUUGACAAGCAAGCAAAACGGGUAUAUUUUCUUUUUAGAUUUUAUAUGUUAUAUUUUAUAGGAUAAGCGAGGCGUUUUCAUACAAAUAGUCACAUGGGUUUUCGAAACUUUUUUUUUGACUUCAAUGCAGAACAAAAGCCCCCAAACCUCCAAACCUUUAGGAAGACUUCGAUUUGUGAGCUUUAUAGUAGGAAACGUAGGUGGGAACUUUGCGACGCGUUUACCAGAUGAAAACCCAACGUAUUAGGAAUACAGAAUACAGAAUACAGACGGACAGCUAAAUUUGUAACUUCUUCUUCAGCAUUGAAGUCAGUCCAGAGAUUUGUUCCGAGCAACUUUUUGCUACCAAUUAGUACCUAGGCCAAUUAGGUGAUUACGCCACAUUCCCCCCUCUAAGCGAAACUGCAUUUCCGAAACAGAACCAAUUAACCCUACAUAUCCAGUACUGUGUAUCUAGUGCCCUCUCCCCUCUCCUCUUCUCACCAGUCUUAUGUUAAACUCAAUGUCUAAACCAAUUGAUAAAUCGAAAACCAAACCGAAUCAAAGCAAACCCCUAAGAGUAAAGCCCAAACAUUCCCCGUAAACCUUACCAAAACCAAUAGAAUAACCAAUCUGAAUUGGAAUUAAGAAAAUUAACUGGAAUAUAAAAGAGAAAAUGAAAAAUGAAAAAGAAAAAUCAAAAAGAUGCGAGUGAAAUGGGCGAGUGAAAAUGAGUAAUUGACGAGCGGCACAGCAGGUGAAUUUGAGCCCAGAAAGGCGCUCAGCAUGUGAAAUGCAUCCGAUGGAUUGCAUUUCAUGUGGACUGGCGCUGCCGAGGAAAUGAAUUUAUAAAUUAAAUGGUUGCGAGCAAUAAUAUCUGCGUGUUGAUGAAUUGCAUGAUUUUUGGUGAUGCAAACGAUGAUCGAUCGAACUAUUGCGCGAGGUCCACGACGAGGGCAAGAGUUCGCUCCUUCAGCGCAUUGAGAACAGCAAACAGUCGUAACUUUCGGUAUUGAUCUCACACAUUUUUUAUUUUGUUAUCAUUUGAACUUUUACUCUUUUGUUUAAAGUACUUAAAUACUCAAAGUUGAGGGCCCUGUACGACACCAGAAAGCAAUUCAACACAGAACACUGAAAGUGAACAGUGAACAGUGAAGAGGCCAAAUAGUUUGAUUGCAAAUGAAAGGCAAAAGGCAAGGCAGACCAAGAAGUAGAGCAUUCGAGAUAUAGCAAUAUACCAAAAUACCAAUAACAAUGAACCCAACAGACGCCAGAACACGUAACAUGCCGGUGCAUGGGUAAUUAUGUGCUUGCUUUAGUGUCGAGCGCACUGAAAACAUACUGAUCACAGACCACAACAACCAAAACAUAUAAACCAAGGAGCUUUAUACAGAUAUAUGUAUAUAUACGAUGGAGUUUAGCGUGGGCCAGUCUGACCCGACUUUUCAUAUAUUUGUACCACAAAACACAACAAAACACAACACAACACAACACACACAGGACACACACUCGGUUGUUCGAUGGCCAGUUUAUGGCAAUUUGUAUGUUUCUGUCCGCCAACUAGCCAAGCACACAAUUUCAAGAUGACCAGACAAGGAAUACAAGAAACAAAAAUCUUAAAAAUUACCAAGGUCCGGGUGAUCGGUUGGGAAAUGCGAAGGAUGAGCCGGGGAAAGUCCAAGCAGGACGAUCCCUGGGCAUUCUGCGUAUUUCCUGAUAGAGAGGAUCCCAUGGCCGAGAAUAGAAGAAAAAGCAAAGCUGCGUUGGUCGAAAUUUCACACAGACUUUUCUUUCCACACAUGAGCAAAGAAAAAAGUUCGAAAUGGAAUAGCUUUUUAAUUUUUAAGUUACAGUUAUUCUGCUUCUAAUUGUAAAUCUUGUGCAAUGUAAACAAUCAGAUUUUUUCUUUGAAUAUAAAUAUUACGAACACACCGAAACCAAAACCAAAACCAAAAGCAAAAGCAAACAAACGCGUAAGGGUCACAGUAAAGACAUAAAGUCACGAAACAAAAACAUAUAAGAUUUCAAAAUCAAUAAUGGAAAUAUGAUUAGCAACUAAACGAUGUCAUUCAACUUAGACUAGGCUACACAGAAAACCAUAAAUUGUUAAGACUCUAUCCAAAGAGCUGAGAAAGGCGAACUCAACAAAACAUACUAGAAAUAGAUUUACAAGCAACAAUAAGUGUAAUUCGAGUAACGAACAGAACGAAGAAAUAGAUAAGCAAAUAUGAAUAUUGAGGAAAUUCGUUUUUAUGUGAUUCGGUUAAAGGACAUUUUCAACGUCACUUUGUAUGCGGAUUUUGUAUGCCCAACUAUACAGAUUUCUGAUCCACUCUUUUUCGCUUGUUUUAUUUUUGAACGAUUGAACCACAUUUACAGAUAAGGUUUAGCUUUUGAUAAAAGAUUGCAAAUGUAAAAUAAUAUGAGAACUUGGAAGUUGGUAUAUUUUGAUGAAAGGUGAAAUUAUUUGUACAUUUUGUUGUAUACCCACAGGAAUAGCUUGAAAACCCAUGUAUGGGAAAUUUGAUGGUUGAAAUUUGUGGGGACUUUUCUUAAUGUUUUUGAUAAACAAGUGUUUGAUUUUGUAUGCUUUUCCAAUGCGAUUGUCAGUGAGAACGAUUAACGAUAGAUUUCAAUCCUAACGCUUAAGAAUAUUAAAGAAAUAAUAAUAGAAAACAUAGCAAACAAGCUGCCAGCAUGAAAAAUAAAAACAAUAACUAAUUUUAAAUCUUUUAUACAUUUCCAUCAAAUGUGCUUAUUUAAACACAAGAAGAGAAAGCAACCCGGAAACCGGAAACCGGAAACCAGAAAUGCCCAACUGAAAUAUCUGAUGGCCGUUUUCAAAUAGCAAUCAAUAACUGGAUUAUGUUCAAUAUCCAAUUAGCUGAAGUUGAACGAAAGUUUUCAUAUAAGCAAUUUUUAAAGAAAAAGUCACCCCAGUAAAUAAAUACAUAGAAAUAGUAAGGCUAUCCGGCUAUCGAGGCCAUAGAAUGGAGCAGAAUGAUGGAGAUUAUAACUAAUAAAGUUCUAGUGCAUAAAGAGGACAGUUUGGAAAAUAGUUCUUCAUCAACCAUUAAUACACAGUUUAUACAUAUAUGUGUAUAUUUACAUGGAUAUAUAUGUGCAUACGUAUAUACUUCUUUUUACACAGACAAACAAGUAUAUAUAUAAAUAUAUAUAUAGUAUACUAUGUAAUAAAUUAUAAAAGAAAAUAUUUGAAACAAAUGAAACUUUUUCCUACAACUAGUUGCAUUUAAAAGAAUUUUAAAAAAUAUACAUAAAAAGUAUAAAUUUCUUAAAAAACAUAAAAAGCAAAAACCAAACUCCUUUCUCUAUUAAAAAAAAAUAAAAUGAAAAACACACAAAACUUUAAAUUAAUAUUUAAUUAGUCAUUUAAAAAGGGUUUAGUAAAAACCAAAUCAAGCGGGAUGAAAUCGUAACCUAGUAAAUAUUUAAAUUAAAUUAAUUUUAAAACGUGAAAAGAAACAAAGAACACAGAAAAGAGAAAACAAAAACAGAAAACAAAAGAAAAGCGCUGAUUUUUUAUGUCGUUAUUAGUAUUUAAAUUUAAAUAAUUGCGUAUAAAGAAACAUACAGAAUUAACUAAAGAACACAAGAUAUAUGACAUAAAAAAUUAGAAGAAAAUUUAAAUUGGUCAUUUUGACCUAAAUAGUAAAUUAUAGAAGGAAAAUAAUAUAAAGUUGAAAGGAAACAAUGACGAAACAGAAGCAAAACCGAGUAAAGCGAUUGUAAAAUUUUAAUUAUUAUUCAAUAAUAAAAAUUCAAAAAGAAAAGAUUUGACAGAAAUACCAAAAACACAUUAGGUUUUAUUCCCAACAAAAUUAAGGAUCCCUGGACCAAGGACGAGGACUCUGAGGACGAAGUCGACGUUGCAUCCUGAAGUCGGAAAGGUAAAUUGUGUUAUGCUCUAGAAAAAGCUGAGAGUUAGGCUUAAGGAACUCACGCAUAUAUUACGAAAAUGUAAAUAUACUGUAUCGAUGUUCAUGGAAACCAAUUCAUAUUGUCAUAAACUCAUUGCAAGACAACACCAUACACUGUAAAAAAUCAAUGCCUAGAUUACGUAGCAAUUACGCUGUGACGAAUGGACAAGCAAGCGUUAUGUAUACUGAAAACCAGAAACCAAAUCGUUUGACGUUUAUAUUCAAAGUGGUAAAAUUUCGAAACUAAUUUCCCAAAAAUAGAGUUUUUGGCGAAUUUUACUAAAGGAAAAUUCUGAUCCCCGCGCAGUUUGUCAACAACCAGCUGAAAUCCAAAUUAAAAUCCAGUUCCUUCUUUACGAUAUUCCCAUAACAGAAACAAUUAUAUAACAAAACCCAAAUAUCCAGCUAGUCAAACCACAGAUUUCAAAUAAAAAACAGCUGGAGGAAUGCUGCGUGUAUGUAUAACCAGUUGAUUUCAUUUUUCCCCUGCGGAAAGUAAAACUGUAAGCUGUAAGAAAUUGUCCCAUUUUUAUCCCAAUAUUUUGGCAUGUUUUCUUUACAACCUUCUUCCAUUUAUUUCCAACGUCCAAUCAAUAGCCUAAUUUCUAAAAUCGAUCCAAACUAGAUUAAACUUUCAGUCACAUUUACUCUCCUCCUGCACUUUUGUAUACAUUUGCUUAUGCAUGAUAUUUUUAAAAAUGAUCAAUUAUUCUCGACUAAAAUAAUUCCUUUACGUCUAAUCCGUUUACAACUGCUAACAUUAUCGGGAGAUUUUCGAGGAAUAAAAUUAGCCUGGGUCCAGUGAAAGAUCAUCAUGCAUUAACAAACUUAUAACAAAUGAUAAUGUUGUCUGUCUUUAUUAUUAAUUAUAAUUUCGAGAAAAAUAAAUUUUAUAAUGUUUAA